UACGUAGGGUGCGAGCGUUGUCCGGAAUUAUUGGGCGUAAAGAGCUCGUAGGCGGUUUGUCGCGUCUGCCGUGAAAGUCCGGGGCUCAACUCCGGAUCUGCGGUGGGUACGGGCAGACUAGAGUGAUGUAGGGGAGACUGGAAUUCCUGGUGUAGCGGUGAAAUGCGCAGAUAUCAGGAGGAACACCGAUGGCGAAGGCAGGUCUCUGGGCAUUAACUGACGCUGAGGAGCGAAAGCGUGGGGAGCGAACAGG
rnacentral:rRNA from 1 species